rnacentral:tRNA from 2 species
GCGGAUAUGGUGGAAUGGUAGACACGCAGGCUUGAGGGGCUUGUGGGGCAACCCGUGCUGGUUCAAGUCCAGUUAUCCGCACCA